GACGAGCGCUGGCGGCGUGCUUAACACAUGCAAGUCGAGCGGUAAGGCCCUUUCGGGGGUACGACGAGCGGCGAACGGGUGAGUAACACGUGGGUGGACCUGCCCUCAGCUCUGGGAUAAGCCUGGGAAACUGGGUCUAACACUGGAUAUGACUCCACGGUGCAUGUCGUGGGGUGGAAAGCCUUGUGCGGCUGAGGAUGGGCCCGCGGCCUAUCAGCUUGUUGGG
rnacentral:rRNA from 1 species